rfam:Lottia gigantea unplaced genomic scaffold LOTGIsca_51, whole genome shotgun sequence.
AGCUGUGCGCAGUGGCGGUACCAUAGCCAAUGAGGAAUUUCCGAGGCGUGGUUAUUGCUAGUCUA